rnacentral:lncRNA from 1 species
AGUUUGAAAAGAUAAUGAACUGCAGUUGAAUUAGAACUCAACAACUUCACUUGUAAUUUGGAUCGGUCACUCAUUUGUUUUGUUUUGCAUUGAAUUGCUAGGGACUAGCAAUAAGCAAGUUGGGGGGGUGUGAUAAGAGUGUAAAAUACCAUAUUUUCCCCUCUUAAUUAUUGCAUUCAUGUGAUUAUAUUAUGCAAAAAUGCACUCAUUACUCUUAUGUUUUGGUUUAGGUUGCAUUUUGGUGAAAACGGUGAAAUUUGGAAGAAACAAA